rnacentral:lncRNA from 1 species
AUUCAUACCCAAAUCUUCAUGAUAACUAAUUGAGAAAAGGAAAACAGAGGGAAAUUUUUUUUAACAUCAAUUUCCGACUGCAAACAUAAUUUUUUUUAAGUAUCAAUUUUUAAUAUAAAAACUAAUACCUCCUCGACUUCAUUCUCAGUGCAUUCGUAUUUUGAAUGUACAACAUAAUUUUUGCAACAGUUACAGAAUAUGCUUAUAAUCCAACAC